CGGAGGGAGCUAGCGUUGUUCGGAAUUACUGGGCGUAAAGCGCGCGUAGGCGGCUUUGUAAGUUAGAGGUGAAAGCCCGGGGCUCAACCCCGGAACUGCCUUUAAGACUGCAUCGCUUGAAUCCGGGAGAGGUGAGUGGAAUUCCGAGUGUAGAGGUGAAAUUCGUAGAUAUUCGGAAGAACACCAGUGGCGAAGGCGGCUCACUGGACCGGUAUUGACGCUGAUGUGCGAAAGCGUGGGGAGCAAAACAGGAUUAGAUACCCUGGUAGUCCACGCCGUAAACGAUGAUAACUAGCUGUCGGGGGUCAUGGACUUUCGGUGGCGCAGCUAACGCAUUAAGUUAUCCGCCUGGGGAGUACGGCCGCAAGGUUA
rnacentral:rRNA from 1 species